rnacentral:lncRNA from 1 species
CGCGGCCGGCCCACAGGGCAGCCUCCUCCAAUCGGAGGGGAUGGGCGCUGCUGAUCGACAAACAAAGUCCGCCCAAUGGCAAGGAGAGGAAGUCGAGCAAACUCUCGGUGGCAGCUAAUCAGAGCGCUAGGGGCGGGGCGAAGGCUCCACCGGGCUGGGCGGCAGGUGGUGCCAGACAGAUGCCAGCAGCACAGUAAUCUUCAAGAGGCCACAAGUAUUUGGCUAGAGACAACAGGAAUAUUGGAAAUGGGAUAAGACAGCAACAGAAGCCACAGAGUACGGAUUCCUUUCUUUCCCCCAAAUUCAGAUUCUUGAAUCUUAAAUUAUAAUUGAAUUUUUGAUGUGGGGUCUUUAAGAAAUAGUUACUGAAAAUCAUUUUAGAAAUCAGCAGUAUUUUUUUAAAAAAUCAAAUAACUGAAUAUCUUUGUAUCUUGAUUUAUUAUUAUUAUUUUGGUAUGCACAGUUUUAGGAAAUGAAUGUUGUUGCUGCUGUGGAGAGUUGAGAGAUACAUGGUAAAUUGAGUGCAUUUUAAAGCCAAACAGAACAGCUAGGGAAGACUAGGUGGUAGGACUUAAGCUGGAUCCUGCUGAUAAGGUUGUGUGAGAGAGGAAUGAUUUAGAAAACAGUAUUUGCAGAAAGGAAACAGUUGACCCUCUAGCAGU